CGGAGGCCAUUUUCAUUGAAACCACAUUUUCCAAAUCUUCUUCACACCUAUUCUUCAAGAUGAGUCUUGGAAGGAAGGACCCUUGGAAGGAAGGUCAGCAGCACUGCAGAACCGGUGGCACCCUGGAAACCCCUCCCAGGGGGACUGGGCAAAGACUGAGACUAUGUGGUGACAGACUGUCCUGGAUACGACACGGGUGGACUACCAGGUCCGUGCCUUAUCAAGUCUCAGGUUCCUGGCUACCCGGACAAUGUUAAGCGUGGGUUCUGUCGUCUCAUGCACUGAGCCUUGAUGCUAAUCAGAUCGAGGUUGGUUUGUGCCACAAUUGCACCAGUGUAUCUUGCAGGCUGGUCACCAUGGUCAGGAAACUGAGGCCCAAAGAAUUGAGCGACUUACCCACAUCAAGUGGCAGCCAGUAUCCUACCCACAACCUUCCUCCCCUGUCCCCAGAACAACUCUCAGCCUGGAGAGAACACCAGCCGCUGGUCUGUUACAUUGCCGGCAGAUGUGAGACACAUGCGACACAUUGCACAAUUCUGAUGUGAUUGAUAUCAAAACCUACUUCCCGCGCCCCAAGUGUCUGAGAGCAAGAUCUGCUUCCAUGAGAGAAAACACGGAUGUGCUACAGGAGACAAUGAAAAGCAGCCUGAUUUGCUUCUAACAUGAAGAAUUUUAGAACCAACUACAGGAGGAAGCCACCUAGGCAGACAGCUCAUUUUGGAAGCAAUGGCGCCAUCUUCUGGUAUGAUGUGGUAUAACACCCCCGUGACACCAGACCCAAAGCAUCUCAGUCAUCCUUGAAAUAUUUCAUUGAUCUUCUAUUUGGGGGAUCAAAUUUAAAACUAUGUAAGCAUUGCAACCACCUAGAAUUAAAAAAAAACUAUUUUUCUUUUCUUUUUUUAGGGUUUUCUUCCCCUUCCCCCCCCAAGACAGGGCUUCUCUGUGUAGCCCUGGCUGUCCUGGAACUCCCUCUGUAGACCAGGCUGGCCUCCAACUCAAAGAUAUGUCUGUCUCUGCCUCCCAAUUGCUGGGAUUAAAGGUGUGUGCCACCACACUGCCUGGCAACAUUUUAAAAUUACUUAUAAUCUGUAUAUUGAUAGGGCUGGAGAGAAGGCUCAGUGGUAAAGAGCUGACUGCUCUUCCAAAGGUCCUGAGUUCAAUUCCCAGCAACCACAUGGUGGCUCACAACCAUCUAUAAUUAGAUCCAAUGCUCUCUUCUGAUGUGUCUGAAGAAAGCUACAGUGUACUCAAAUAUAUAAAAUAAAGUCUUUUAAAACUAUG